GAUGAAGAACGCAGCGAAAUGCGAUAAGUAAUGUGAAUUGCAGAAUUCAGUGAAUCAUCGAAUCUUUGAACGCACAUUGCGCCCGCCAGUAUUCUGGCGGGCAUGCCUGUUCGAGCGUCAUUACAACCCUCAGGCCCCCGGGCCUGGCGUUGGGGAUCGGCGGAAGCCCCCUGCGGGCACAACGCCGUCCCCCAAAUACAGUGGCGGUCCCGCCGCAGCUUCCAUUGCGUAGUAGCUAACACCUCACAACUGGAGAGCGGCGCGGCCACGCCGUAAAACACCCAACUUCUGAAUGUUGACCUCGAAUCAGGUAGGAAUACCCGCUGAACUUAAGCAUAUCAAUAAGCGGAGGA
rnacentral:misc_RNA from 1 species